AGGACGAACGCUGGCGGCGUGCCUAACACAUGCAAGUCGAGCGGAAAGGCCACUUCGGUGGUACUCGAGCGGCGAACGGGUGAGUAACACGUGAGUAAUCUGCCCUCCACUUUGGGAUAGCCACCGGAAACGGUGAUUAAUACCGGAUAUGACGCGUGCCCGCAUGGGUGUGUGUGGAAAGUUUUUCGGUGGGGGAUGUGCUCGCGGCCUAUCAGCUUGAUGGUGGGUAAUGGCCUACCAUGGCUUCGACGGGUAGCCGGCCUGAGAGGGUGACCGGCCACACUGGGACUGAGACACGGCCCAGACUCCACGGGAGCAGCAGUGGGAAUAUUGGACAAGUGGGCGGAAGCCUGAUCCAGCAACGCCGCGUGGAGGAUGACGGCCUUCGGGUUGUAACCUCUUCAGCACGAGACGAAGCGAAAGUGACGUAUGUGCAGAAGAAGACGACCGGACCAACUACGUGACCC
rnacentral:rRNA from 1 species